rnacentral:snoRNA from 1 species
GGUUGGUGAUGGGCUGGUCUAAGGUCUGGCCCCUGCACCUGCCCCUGCCCCCAGCCAUCCCAGCCACCUCCUCCAUCUGGCUCCAGUAGUGCUCGUGAUGGGAAAAGGCCGUGCUGGCGCCAGGAUGUCCCCAUUCUGUGUCCGUCACAGGGUGUGAGCGUGGGGAGCGCUGGAGUCUGAGGUUACGAUCUGAUGUUUUCACACUGAGACU